rnacentral:miRNA from 1 species
AAAUUGAGAGAGAGAAUGAGAGGGGAGAGUAACAAAAAUGAAAACAAAAACAUGAAAGUGAAAACUAUUACAAAUAGGUUUCAGUUUUUAGAUUUUGUUUUCACUUUUGUUACUCCUCCCUCGCAUCCUACUCUCUCAUCUUC